rnacentral:rRNA from 1 species
AGUGAACGUUGGCGGCGUGGAUUAGGCAUGCAAGUCGAGCGAGAACCGUAGCAAUACGGGGACAGCGGCGAAAGGGACAGUAAUGUGUAGGUACCUACCCCCGGGUUCGGGAUAGCUGCGGGAAACUGCAGGUAAUACCGAAUAAUGUCUCCGGGCCAAAGGUGAGAUUCCACCUGGGGAGGGGCCUGCAUCCUAUUAGCUUGUUGGUGGGGUAACGGCCUACCAAGGCGACGAUGGGUAGCGGGUGUGAGAGCAUGACCCGCGUCAUUGGGACUGAGACACUGCCCAGACACCUACGGGUGGCUGCAGGCGAGAAUCUUCGGCAGUGGGCGCAAGCCUGACCGAGCGACGCCGCGUGCGGGAUGAAGGCCUUCGGGUUGUAAACCGCUGUCGUAGGGGAGGAAACGCAGGAGGGUUCUCCCUCUUGUUUGACCUAUCCUAGGAGGAAGUACGGGCUAAGUUCGUGCCAGCCGCCGCGGUAA